CUUCACUUUCUCUUCUCUCUGCCUCUUCAGUCCCAUCCCCGAUGGGCACUGCUUCCUUCUGCGGGCUGACUCUUCAUGGCUGUCACCUCACCACAGUCAGUCCUGAAGCUCCUCAGCCAAUUUUGUUUUAAUAUUUGACCUUUGCCCAUUGCCUGCCACUCCCAUUGCUCACAUUCUCUCCAUACACACACACACACACACACACACGCGCGCGCGCGCGCGCGCGCCUGCUGCCUGCUCCCCGCCCCUCCCUGCAGGGCACGUGCUAUACCAGCCUUUAAAUCCAGGUCCUCUCUGUGCACUGUGGUGCCAAGUCAGACAGGGAGGCUGUGCCCAAGGACAAGGGCUCUCAGCACCACUGAGAGGCUCACCUGGUCCCCAAUCCUUCCAUCUCUGGAAAAGCCGCACGUCACUCGUGGCCCGGGGCAUCCCUGGGGGCUCCAUCUACCAGGCAGGUGCAGGAUACAGAGAACCCAGGGGUGGAGAUACUGCUGGGCUCAUCUUUCUCAGAGGCUGGUUCUUUUUCUUUUUUUAAUCUCUGCUCCUCUCCAUAGAAGGUGAGGCUUCCAGCAUCUGGGGUGACUCUGAGGGUCACUUUGGCGUCUGCAUGGUAUACUGCUUGCUUAUUUCUCCUCGUCCAUAGUUCUCUGGCUAUAAAGCAGGGCAGGAAGGCCAGAGCGUUAGGAGUACACAGGAUGGCGUGACUUGCUCUCCCUGCCCCUAACCUGGGCCAUCAUCCCUCGGACUGCAGAGGGCUUCUGUACAACCAUGUUCCUUCUCUGAGUGAUGUCUGGAGGGCAGCAGCUUCAGCACCACCAGGGAGCUUGAUCCAUCUGCAGAAUUUCAAGCCCUACCCCAGACUUCCCGAAUCAGAAUCUCGUUUUAGUAGGAUCCCCAGGACCCCCAUCGCUCCUCCUCUGAGUGCCUGCAGGUUAGGGAGAGGAAGGGGCAGGCUUGAGAUCACGGUGACCAUGAUCCAUGAAGAACCCUGGCACCAUCAGAGGAAGCUCACGGGACACUUGCCAGUGACACGGACCUCUGCAGCCACCACUAACAGGGGAGGAAAGAAGGCAGCGUUGAGCGGGGGGGCCUGCCUGCCUGUGCCAAACCCACGUCUGAGAUCACAAGCAUUGGAGAAAAAGAACAAGUCUGUCUUGUCAACAUUGACCUUUGGCCACCUUGCCCCCUUGCUCACCACCCGCCUUGACCUUUCCUCUUAAUCUCUCCAUUUCCUUUCGUUUGAAAGGGAUGUAGGUGUGUUUUGAGCUCAUUCUCAUUCUGCUUCAAUUAAGUUCAACAGUAAUUUGCUUCCCACAGUUACUACCCUCCUAGAGGAGUUGGGCCUCUGAAACGUUCACACCUCAAAAUAUGGAAAAUCAUUCCUCAAGGUUUCUUUUCCUCAAUGAAUCUUCUCUUACUUUGAACUUUGGAAAUAAUCUCUUGCAUGGUUCAUGCCUUCCAUCUCCUCCCCAAUCACGGGGCAACAUUGCCUUGCUCAAGAUCAAAUACUACCCAUCUUCCCUGAGUUGGGUUUAUUUUUACUCUUGUUGUUUCUUGCAAUCUCAUUAAAUUCCUGUGACGUUAAGUAGGAUGGGUAUCCUAAUGCCUGCAUCACAGGUAAAGGAACCACGGUCAGGGAGCCUCUUUCAGGAAGCAGAACUGGGUUGAGAUGAGGACCUCUGGCUCCCUGUCCCCAGCCUUCGUGGGCGACAAGGGCUGGGUCUUGCUUUCAGGCAUGGUGGGAGCAGCGGCGCUGGCCCUCUGCUCAGCUUCGUCCUCAGUCUACCCAGGGAAAGCCAAGAUCAAGAGCCUCACUGACACUGCACCCCCUCUUGAGCUUGGUUUGCCAUCCUGCUGAGAGCUCGUGCCCCCAUGUGUCAGGGGAGUCCCCGCUCUUCCACGA
ensembl:lncRNA